rnacentral:pre_miRNA from 1 species
GUCAGCGAAACCGUUACCAUUACUGAGUUUAGUAAUGGUAAGGGUUCUUCUGCCCCGCC